AUGUUGUUUCAGCUCAUGGACAAGAUCAGGAGAAAGAUUACGGUGAAGUUUGAGAAGAGGAGAAGGGUAGCUAGAAAAUUUCAAGGUCGGCGUAUACUUCCAAGUGUCAUGAAGGAGUUGAAUGACAUAAGCAGGGGGCUGGACAUUGAAUAUGAGAGAAUAGAUGACAUGAUUGCAGAGGUGAGUGAGAGUGUUGCGCUAGGUGGCAAGUGCCAUGUCACUGAUCUAGCAAAUAGGACAUGCACAUGCAGGGCAUUUCAAGUCUCGGGGAAGCCUUGUAAACAUGCAAUUAGCUUUAUUACUGGAAUUAGGGGGGUCACAAUAGAACACUUCGUUGAUGAUUGUUACAGCGUUGCCAAGUUCGCUGCAGCUUAUGCUCCUAUUCUUCCUGGCCUAACCGACAUGUCUCAAUGGCCAAGUGUCAACAAAGAAUUCUUCUUGAACCCCCCAAUCCUUAGGAGGGCCCCUGGGAGACCAAAGGUACAGAGGCAGAAAAGUGGUGCUGAGAAUAGCAAGGGAAAGGGAAAGAAAGGCCAACACCAAUGUCCAAUUUGCAAAGCUUAUGGACAUAGAUGGCAAAGCUGCAAAGAUGCUGCUCCUGAAGCACUAGAAGCCUAUGCAGAAGUAGCAAAGCAAAAAAGGGACAAAAGAAAGAAGAAAUCCAUUACAAAAGCUAUUUGUACAACAUCAGAUCAAGCAACCAAUGGUACACUACCUCUACUUCCGUGUCCAAGUGAAAAUGAAACUGCACUAGCUCUACUUUCAUGUCCAAGUGAUGCAAUUCAAGACGAUGUUGCCAAGUCUACAUCAUCGAAGAGUACCUCGAAAUCUAGAAGAUCAAAGGUCAUAUCUGUUGUGCUUGACAGCCCUGCAAUGGGAACUCGAAGCAAGAAGAGAGCUGCGCCUAACAGCCAAGCAAUGGCCAGUCGAAGCAAAAAAAAGUUGAAGUUGUGA
rnacentral:rRNA from 1 species